rnacentral:rRNA from 1 species
GUAGAGUGACAUUUUUUAGAGAUAGAAUUCCCUUCGGGGCUUUCUGCAAGGUGCUGCAUGGUUGUCGUCAGCUCGUGCCGUGAGGUGUCGGGUUAAGUCCCAUAACGAGCGCAACCCUUAUCGUUAGUUGCCAUCUGGUAAUGCAGGGGACUCUAGCGAAACUGCCACCGUAAGGUGAGAGGAAGGUGGGGAUGACGUCAAAUCAUCAUGCCCCUUAUGUUCUGGGCUACACACGUGCUACAAUGGCCGGUACAGACGGACGCAAAGCCGCGAGGUGGAGCAAAUCCUAAAAAAGCCGGUCUCAGUUCGGAUUGAGGGCUGCAAUUCGCCUGCAUGAAGUCGGAAUCGCUAGUAAUCGCAGGUCAGCAUACUGCGGUGAAUACGUUCCCGGGCCUU